rnacentral:misc_RNA from 1 species
UCAAACUUGGUCAUUUAGAGGAAGUAAAAGUCGUAACAAGGUUUCCGUAGGUGAACCUGCGGAAGGAUCAUUAAUCAAUUAAUUAUCCUAUUUAAACUAUAUGGAUAAUAUAAUCCAUAUUCAUUCUAUUGUGCAUUUAUUGAAAUAUGAACUUUGAUAGAAAAUAUAGAUAAAAUAUUUAUUUAUUUAGUAUUUUUUCUUUUUAUAUUUCUAUCAAAGGAUUUCAUUGAUCUUGAUAAUUUUCAGUAAUAAACUUCAUUAAUUAAUUGAAAGAAAUAUUAUACAACUUUCAACAACGGAUCUCUUGGCUCUCGCAUCGAUGAAGAACGCAGC